rnacentral:rRNA from 1 species
GACGAACGCUGGCGGCGUGUUUAACACAUGCAAGUCGAACGGAAAGGCCCUGCUUUUGUGGGGUGCUCGAGUGGCGAACGGGUGAGUAACACGUGAGUAACCUGCCCUUGACUUUGGGAUAACUUCAGGAAACUGGGGCUAAUACCGGAUAGGAGCUCCUGCUGCAUGGUGGGGGUUGGAAAGUUUCGGCGGUUGGGGAUGGACUCGCGGCUUAUCAGCUUGUUGGUGGGGUAGUGGCUUACCAAGGCUUUGACGGGUAGCCGGCCUGAGAGGGUGACCGGCCACAUUGGGACUGAGAUACGGCCCAGACUGCUACGGGAGGCAGCAGUGGGGAAUAUUGCACAAUGGGCGGAAGCCGGAUGCAGCAACGCCGCGUGCGGGAUGACGGCCUUAGGGUUGUAAACCGCUUUCGCCUGUGACGAAGCGUGAGUGACGGUAAUGGGUAAAGAAGCACCGGCUAACUACGUG